rnacentral:rRNA from 1 species
UACAGAGGGUGCAAGCGUUAAUCGGAAUUACUGGGCGUAAAGCGUGCGUAGGUGGUUUGUUAAGUCUGAUGUGAAAGCCCUGGGCUCAACCUGGGAACGGCAUUGGAAACUGGCUUACUAGAGUGCGGUAGAGGGGUGUGGAAUUCCCGGUGUAGCAGUGAAAUGCGUAGAUAUCGGGAGGAACAUCUGUGGCGAAGGCGACACCCUGGACCAGCACUGACACUGAGGCACGAAAGCGUGGGGAGCAAACAGG